rnacentral:rRNA from 1 species
GUGGGGAAUAUUGGAAAAUGGGCGAAAGCCUGAUCCAGCCAUGCCGCGUGUGUGAAGAAGGUCUUCGGAUUGUAAAGCACUUUAAGUUGGGAGGAAGGGCAGUAAGUUAAUACCUUGCUGUUUUGACGUUACCGACAGAAUAAGCACCGGCUAACUUCGUGCCAGCAGCCGCGGUAAUACGAAGGGUGCAAGCGUUAAUCGGAAUUACUGGGCGUAAAGCGCGCGUAGGUGGUUUUGUAAGUUGGAGGUGAAAUCCCCGGGCUCAACCUGGGAACUGCCUCCAAAACUGCAUGACUAGAGUACGGUAGAGGGUAGUGGAAUUUCCUGUGUAGCGGUGAAAUGCGUAGAUAUAGGAAGGAACACCAGUGGCGAAGGCGACUACCUGGACUGAUACUGACACUGAGGUGCGAAAGCGUGGGGAGCAAACAGGAUUAGAUACCCUAGUAGUCC